AUGGUUCGCACGCAGUCGUCGCAAUUCUCCUUUCUUCGGAUUUAAUUCGGUAACUCGUAUUACAUUCGGUGUUCAUAGUGAUUAUUGUUUUUUAUUGUGUCUCGCUAAUGAUUUAUCGCUUAUAAGAUGUUCGCGGAAUGCAAAUAUGCAAGUAUUUGUUUGUGAUCGGGCUGCCGACGGAUGCCGUUUACGAUGGAAAUUUUACAGUACUAACCAUAUUAGCCGUGCCUUGGAGUCCCAGGAGUUCUGCAUUGUAGUGGCCGUGCCUUGGAGUUCCAUGACUUCUGCAUUGGUAAGUUUAUAAUUCAAUCAUAUAUUUCGUUUUAAUUUCUGCGUCCUCCAUUAGUUUGUAUUUACAUUGUUUUGAUUUAUCGCGUUCCACCGCGUCUUGCAAAUACAUAAGAUAGUCGCGUACCCGGCAGAUACAUCCCAAAAUUAAUUGUUUAGUUUUUCCUUAGCUUACAAAAGCGCAAGAGUUGUACUUGAAGAUGCAAUUCCGCGGAAUCAUGUCCUAACCAUCCCUAUCCCCUUUUGUCUCUGUUUCUUCAAUUCCAACUAUUUUGGAUUGAAGAUUCUAAAUCUUCGGAGAAUUCUUUAUAAAAUUUAUUACUUUCUUUGGUGAAUACGUAAUCCAUGUUAUUUUUUAUAAAUAUAAAAAUAUUUAUUGAUUAAAAUUACAACGUGAUUUUUUGGAUUUACAGGUUUUUUUUUUUUUUUUUUUUUUGUUGAGUUUAACAUGUUUCGCCCAGAGGGCAUCUUCAUAAACUUUAUAAAAUAAAAUAUUCAAAUUGUGAAAAUAGGAGAGGUCGAGAAUAAUUCAUAAACAAAAAUUUGCUUAGGACAAUUCUUGUUUCAUCUCUCUGAGACUUUUUCAUUUUCAUUUUUAGGACAAUUUUGAAAUUUUGUAUGUUUUUAUUUACUGUAUUAUUCAUAGAUGAGACUAGCAUCAACCAAAAAUUUCUAAUUUAUCAACGUUUGUGUAUAAACAACAUUUUUUGUGUCGCGUUGCCAUCUGCUCAUAUCGCAUGCAGUAUAUUUCAAUUUAGUUUUGAUCGCAUAUACCCUACGGAAUAUAAUUAUUUUUAAUUUUUACCUGAUAGAGAAUUUUCCUAUCUUGCACAUAAUUUGAUCGCCUGCGCUUUUAGUUUAAAAGAGGGCAGUGGUAGAAGUGACUCGUGGUGUUCAGGGCACCAUAUGAGGGUAGCGGUAGAAGUGACUCGUAUUCAGGGCACCGUACAAAGGUAGCGGAGGAAGUGACUUGUGUUCAGGGCACCGUAUGAGGGUAGCGGUAAAACUUUCACUUUUUAGUCACGAUUUUGGACCUUUUCCCCACAGAAUUAUAUUAUUUUUAAUUUAAGCCUUAUAGAGAGUUUUCUAAUCUUUCAUAUUCUUUAAUUUACUGGUCGCUUUUAUGGCUUUUAACGCACUACCGGUUUUAGUUUAAAAGAUAUUCAUUAUCGAAAAUCCUCGAAUAAAAAUGAUGAUUUUAUAGAGAUUUGAAGAAUUCCUUUUGGUGUGUGAGAGACUACGGUAAAUUUGGGAAUUUUAAAGAUUUUUCAAGUUUUAUUCAUGUAAUUAUUUGUAAUAAUUAAAUUUCCAUUUUAAAUUUUCUCGGUCAAUUUUACUAACUCUGUCGUCUUAUAGUUACACUGCUGGCCUCAUGAUACCUUUCUGUUUGGCUCGUAGACAAUACAAGUUGUAAUAAUUUUCUGUUACCUCUGAUUUAUACUAUUUUAUAUGAGAGUGCCCGGUCCCGGAAAUCUCACGCGUAAUUUUCACUUCUUUUAGACAUUGUUUAUUAUCACUAUUGGUUAUUACUGAACCGUUUGCGCUCUUUUAAUACCGUAGGCAAUAGUUCUAAAUAUUAAAUGCGUUUGAGAUUUGUUUGGUGUUCAUUUCUACCUGCUUUUCGUGGUUUGUAAUACAAACUUUGUAUAUAAACAACUUUUUUGUCGUCUUGAACCAGCUCGCGCUACAAACGUUCGUACGUUUGAUGGUUGAAUUUUCAAUUUGUGACACCUUGUAUAAUUGUUUUUCUUCACAUCCCUGAAAAUUUUGCUUUGACUGUUAUUAGAAUUUGACUUUGAAUUUUCUUUUUGUAACACCCUGUAUAUUUGUUUCCAUUUUCCAUCACCUAGAAAAUGGGCUAAAUUUGCUAAUUUGUAGUUGUUUUAACAUAACACGCGAACGCGAUGUCACAAUAAGUUCGAAAUUAUUUUUCCAGAUGCAGAAUUUAAUUUUGUAUCUCCCUGAAUCGAAAUUUAUUGCAAAAAGUAUCCGUAACGCGAGUUAUAUUGAAAGUUGUGUGUGUGUGUGUGUGCUACGGAGUACUCGUUGCGCUAGGAAUUGUAGUUUUUUCAGCAUAACACGCGAUCGCGGUGUCACAAUAAGUUCGGAAUAAUUUUUCAAGAUGCAGAAUUUAAUUCUGUAUUUCCCUGUAUUGCAAUUUAUUGCGAGAAAAAUCCGUAACGCGAGUAAUAUUGAAAGUUGUGUGUAUACGCACUAGUUAGUACUCGUUGCGCUAGGAGUUAUAGUUUUCUGAUAUAACACGCGAACGGGGUGUCACAAUAAGUUCGGAAUAAUUUUUUCAGAUGCAGAAUUUAAUUCUGUAUCUCUUUGUAUUGAAAUUUAUUGCAAGAAAACUCCGAAACUCGAGUUAUAUUGAAAGUUGUGUGUAUACGCACUAGAACUCGUUGCGCUAGGAAUUGUUGUUUUUUUAGUAUAACACGCGAACGCGUUAUCACAAUAACUUCGGAAUAAUUUUCCCAGGUGCAGAAUUUAAUUCUUUAUCACCCUGUAUUUGAAUUUGUUGCGAGAUAAUUCCGUAACGUGAGUUAUAGGGACAUUUGUGAAUGCAUGCAGAAGAGUGCAGAAUUAUAUUUACACAUCAUGUUGCAAUUCCAUCUCAGCCCGUUUAUCGGGGUUUGUGUAUAAACAACUUUUUUAUCGCGUGGAUCGCUAUUGAUACGUCUAGUAGGUUGACAAUUAGUUACUGUCCGUAAAAUGUAUAUGAUACGCGAUUUUAAUAUUUCCUUCCGCGUGUGCGUGCCGUCGGCCGGCACUUUGUCUAGAUAUUGCGUCGAAUAUAUAAUCUCAAUAUUGCAAUAAUAUUUAUAAUAGUGUUGCAUUUAAUUGUCACCUUCUUCAUUGUUACUUUCUCGUUCUUUAUUUUUAAGCCAUCCCGGGAGAAACAGGUAACUACUUAAAUUUUCUGAUAUCUUUUGCUUGACCAAACCAUUUCUUUUUAAAUAUUGUCAUUUUAUUUUGAUAACACCCUAUAUAUUUGUUUUUAUUAAUUUCACAUCAAUACUUGACCAUUUUUUUGUUUUCAACUGUUUUCUUUCUUGAACUGUAGAUUAUCUUUUUGUAACACCCUGAAUAUCCCUUUCCAAUCUGCAAAAAAUGUGUUAAGUUUAUUGUUGCAAGUUUCCUUUGGAAGUAUGAAUUUUUCGUUUGGUAACACCCUGUACAUUAGUUUUCCGUGAUAAAUAGUUAUUUUCUACUGCCCAUGUGUUAGUGUUUUUAAUUUGGUGCUUGCCUGUAUGUGCGCGAUGAUGCAGGUCGCAAGUCCUGUUUGAAUAUGUCGGCAUGAAUUUUGUUGACUUGUAAAAUCUAAACUUUUAUUAUUUUACAUUGUAUUUAUUAAUAAAGAAAUGUUAAGAAA